AGCCGCGUCCCGGCUGCGUCCCGCCGGUCCCGCCCCGCCCCGCCCCGCAGAGCCGCCGCCAGUAGUGGGAGACGUGCGCUGAGAGGCGGGGGCUGCGCUCGGCGGAACAGCAGCCCUCGGGCGGAGAGCGGGGCCGGGGUCCGAGAGCAGGUGAUGCCAAGAGCUGAGCGGGACUCGUGAGCGCGCGGUUCAGCACCUACCAGGGCGUCCCGUAAAAAACCUCGCCUUCGCCUGUCUCUGGGAACCAUACGCCGCAGGUGCCGCCUGUCCUCGCCUUCCUGCUGCAAUCGCCCCACCAUGGACUCCCCGAUCCAGAU
rnacentral:lncRNA from 1 species